rnacentral:rRNA from 1 species
AGCCACACUGGAACUGAGACACGGUCCAGACUCCUACGGGAGGCAGCAGUGGGGAAUAUUGCACAAUGGGCGCAAGCCUGAUGCAGCCAUGCCGCGUGUAUGAAGAAGGCCUUCGGGUUGUAAAGUACUUUCAGUCGUGAGGAAGGUAGUGUAGUUAAUAGCUGCAUUAUUUGACGUUAGCGACAGAAGAAGCACCGGCUAACUCCGUGCCAGCAGCCGCGGUAAUACGGAGGGUGCGAGCGUUAAUCGGAAUUACUGGGCGUAAAGCGCAUGCAGGUGGUUUGUUAAGUCAGAUGUGAAAGCCCGGGGCUCAACCUCGGAAUUGCAUUUGAAACUGGCAGACUAGAGUACUGUAGAGGGGGGUAGAAUUUCAGGUGUAGCGGUGAAAUGCGUAGAGAUCUGAAGGAAUACCGGUGGCGAAGGCGGCCCCCUGGACAGAUACUGACACUCAGAUGCGAAAGCGUGGGGAGCAAACAGGAUUAGAUACCCUGGUAGUCCACGCCGUAAACGAUGUCUACUUGGAGGUUGUGGCCUUGAGCCGUGGCUUUCGGAGCUAACGCGUUAAGUAGACCGCCUGGGGAGUACGGUCGCAAGAUUAAAACUCAAAUGAAUUGACGGGGGCCCGCACAAGCGGUGGAGCAUGUGGUUUAAUUCGAUGCAACGCGAAGAACCUUACCUACUCUUGACAUCCAGAGAACUUUCCAGAGAUGGAUUGGUGCCUUCGGGAACUCUGAGACAGGUGCUGCAUGGCUGUCGUCAGCUCGUGUUGUGAAAUGUUGGGUUAAGUCCCGCAACGAGCGCAACCCUUAUCCUUGUUUGCCAGCGAGUAAUGUCGGGAACUCCAGGGAGACUGCCGGUGAUAAACCGGAGGAAGGUGGGGACGACGUCAAGUCAUCAUGGCCCUUACGAGUAGGGCUACACACGUGCU